CUGGCCUACACCACAGCCACAGCAACGGGGGAUCCGAGCCACGACUAUAACCUACACCACAGCUCACGGCAACACCGGAUCCUUAACCCACUGAGCGAGGCCAGGGAUUGAACCCACAACCUCAUGGUUCCUAGUCAGAUUCGUUAACCACUGAGCCAAGACGGGAACUCCAACUUAAUGAAUUUUAUUACAUUUAUAGGUGUAUAACAGUCAUCACAACCCAAUUUUAUAGCAUUUCCAUCCCAAACCCCCAGGGCAUCCCCCCACCCCCACCCUGUCUCGUUUGGAAACCGUCAGUUUGUCAAAGUCUGUGAGUCAGCGUCUGUUCUGCAAAGAAGUUCGUUGUGUCCUCUUUUUAGAUUCCACAUGUCAGUGAGAGCACUGGAUGUUGGUAUCUCAUUGUCUGACUGACUUCACGUAGCAUAAUUUCUAGGUCUAUCCAUGGUGCUAAAAAUGCCGUUAUUUCUUUCCUUUUUAAUGGCUGAGUAAUAUUCCAUCGUGUAUAUGUACCACAUCUUCUUGAUCCACUCCUCUGUCGAUGGACAUUUAGGUUGUUUCCAACUCUUGGCUAUGGCAAAUAGUGCUGCAAUUUCUUUCUUUCUUUCUUUUCUUUCUUUCUUCUUCUUCUUCUUCUUUUUUUUUUUUCAUUUUUAAGAGCAAUGGAAAAUUACUGAAGGGGAGUGAUCUAAGUUUUCGAUGAUCUCUCUGGCAACUGAGUGACCAACAGCUUACAGAGGGAGAUGAAAGGAGAAGCCGCAAGACCAGUGAGUGGGCUCUUUCAGGAGCUAGCAGGGUGGGGGCCCUCCUCAAGUCCCCCCUCUACCCACUGGGUCUAGAACACAGCCUCUUCGGGCCUCAUUUUGUGUCGUGUAAACGUCAUAGAGGUGUCAGGAGAGUUGAGGGAGGGAGGUUUGCCCACAUCUGGGACAUAGUAAGAGUUCAAUAUGUUAUAACCAUUCUUUUUUUUCUUUUUUUUUUUUUUGUCUUUUUUGCCUUUUCUAGGGCCGCUCCUGUGGCAUAUGGAGGUUCCCAGGCUAGGGGUCCAAUCAGAGCUGCAGCCCCUGGCCUAUGCCAGAGCCACAGCAACGCCAGAUCCGACGCCAGAUCUUUGACCUACACCACAGAAGAANUCACGGCAACGCCGGAUCCUUAACCCACUGAGCGAGGCCGGGGAUCAAACUCGCAACCUCAUGGUUCCUAGUCGGAUUCGUUAAUCAGUGAGCCACGACGGGAACUCCUGUUAUAACCAUUCUCAGUAGAGCCCAGGGCACCAGAGUCAGGAAGAAGCACAAGUGGCACGUGAGCCGCUGACCUGUCCCAUCUCCUGCAGCCCAGGGACCUGGGCCGAAGGAGGAGGCUGGAUUCUGGGCAACCACCCCCACCCCCGCACCUCCAAUCAGCUGCAUCCACACGGAGUUCCAGCAGGCCUGCCCGCCACCCUGUGAAAGAGGGGGUGGGACUUAAUUUCCCUGUUCAGACAUGGAGACGUGGCUUUGCCCCAAAGCUUGGAGACAGAGCUAGGAGUGGCCCGUGGCCCCCAUCUCCCCGCCACAGACCUCCUCCCCCAGCGCGGGCAGUGGAGGGAAGCGGAGGCUUGACUCCCUGCCUAGAGCUAGUGCUGGGCUGCCAAGAUGUGUGGGUGGUCUGAGGUUGCCUGGGCCCAAGGGCUCAACUCCUGGGGUCCUGUGCCGGUGGGUCCCUUGGCUGACUCUAGUGGGCCCAGCACCAUGAGGGCCCCCACUGCCACCCCUCUUCUCUGAGAGAGUCCCCAGAUGGAGCCCAGAGGUUUUCUGGGUCUAACCCUGGCCAUGCCGGGGAACUCGUGUGUUCCCUGAGCCAUGUUAGAGCAGCGUGAACCCAGACUCUGAAGUCAGGUAGACUUACAUUUCAACCCCAGCCCUGCCUCUUUUGAGCUUGUAAUACCUUAGACAAGUUUAGCUUAUCCAGGCCUCAGUUUCCUCAUCUGCAAAAUGAAGAGAAGUGGCAAAAACAAUGUAGAGCACAUCGACGGAGAAGGAAGGAGCUCCAGGACGUUUUAUUGAUUAGCAGCAAAAAUGCAGAACAGAAGAAAACCAAGAUGCAGACGAGUUUAGUACAGUAUGCACAAAGUUGAAUUUUUAACAAGGGCUCUCUCCUGCGUGUGUGUGCGCGUGUGCGUGCGCGAACGUGCUGGAUGUGCAGAGACCGACUCAGAAAGCCCACGGGGCAGUCCUCUGGGGAGUGGAGCCGGGGCGGGAGGAGGGAGAAGAGUUACUUUUCACUGAGUAGAGCUGGUCCUGUUUGAACUGUUUACUUUGUGUAGGUCUUUUUUUUUUUUUUUUAAUGGGGUUAAUAAUAUUUACAGGGUUGACUCAAGGAUUAAAUAAAUUUACUCAUAUAAAGUGCUUAGCACAAUGCUUAGCCAGACCAGUACUCAACUCCACACACUACAGUAUUUCUCUUCUUUUCUUUUUUGCUGGGCUACACCACAGCCAGAGCAACACCAGAUCCAAGUCAAGUCUGCAACCUACACCACAGCUCAUGGCAACGCCGGAUCCUUAACCCACUGGGCGAGGCCAGGGAUCGAACCUGCAUCUUCAUGGAGCAUGUUCGGGUUCCCUAACCACCGCUGAGCCACGAAGGAACCUGACACCACAGUAUUUCUGGAUCCCAGUUCUUCCCUCCCUGGAACCACCCCCGCCUCAGGACGUUCUUUGGCCAAGGGGGCUCUCUUGCAUUCCUGCCUUUUGCAGAAGAUCAAGCCUAGGGAGCAGCCAGUCCAACAAGGAUGAAAGAUGCACAGAGCAGACCCACAGCCAAUCCACUGUUUAGAGCCAAGCUCAGCAGAGACUAGUCCAGAUGAAUCAAAACCCAGUAAGUUGGCAGGAAAUACUUUCUGCUGCAGGAUCCUAAAUUUUUAGCGCGCUUGUUACACAUCAUCAUAAUGGCAAAAGCUGACUAUAUGGCAGGCCUUGUGUUAAGUGCAAGGGACACAGGGCUGAGCAAAUCAGAUGCCAUUCCUACUCUCAUGGAGCUUAUACGUGAAUGAUGAAAGGAACAGGAGAGCAUUAAAUGGCAGGGAGGCUUAUCCAGGCAGAGGGUCAAAGAAGCUUCCUCGAGGAAGUGACUUGAACUGCAACCUGAGGGAUGAAUAGGAGUUAACUAGGUAAACCCCUCCAGACAAAGGAACCGAAUGUGCAAAGGCCCUGAGGCUCCUCCUAGGGGGCUGACAGUGGUUGAAGAACAGAGGGACAGUGGGAGAUGAGUGGUGCAGAUCAGCCAAGGGUUUUGUGAAGGAGUGGGUAACUGGGAAGCGGUUUGGAAAGAGGCUUUGGUAGAAGGGACAGGUGACACAAUCACAUUUCUUUGGUCAGACAUCAUUUGCACUCAGGUGAUACGCACACUGGAAGUUAGAUUCGCCAUGGUGGUAUUGGGACUAUUACAGCAUCUGCACCCACGUCUAUAUCUCAGCCUCGUUUGUGUAUCUUUCCCUGUUGGUGUCCUUCCUUUUGUGUCUGGCCUAAGAAGCGCCAGGGCCCCCAGCACCUUCCCAGAUUAUUGGGGUUCUUAAAAUCUUCGGGUCCUGUUCAGCCACACCCCAGGGUAUACCCAUGGAUUUCUAAAGCUCUUGCCCGAGGUACCUCUGGACUCUCCAGCUGGGCUGCGGGUGCCAGUCCCGGGCUGGGGUCCCUGGACCAGCAGAAACUGACGACUUGCCCCCAGGGCUCCUCCCAGAUGGGCUGGGGAGGGACGGGGAGGAACAGGAGGCAAAAGCGCCCUGGCAUCUGCAAACUCCCAUCAGGGCAAAUCAACGCAAGAUUAAAAUUCAUGAUGGUUCCGGGGCACAACUGCAAACAAUUUGUUCAGUAAACUUUGCUCUAAUUGGCAUUCGUAGAAUUUCCUGUUAAUCAGGCCCCUUGGGCUCUGGGGGGCUGGGAUGCUCUGUCUCCCCAUGACAGGACGGAGCAAGCGUGGGUGGGCGUGAGAGGAAGGGGCGUGUGGACAUGGGUCUCUGUAAUCAUGUGCCUGGGUCCGUCUCACUGUGUGGACCCAAGAACCACAGAUGACUUUGCCCAGGAGAACCUCUGAGCCACUCCAGGUGGGUCUUUGUGUUUUGGGGGUGCAUCUCCGUGAAUUAGCGUCUAGGGGCCAUCUGGUGGGGAGUGUGUGUACCUGGGUGUGUGGAUGAGGCCCAGUUGCUAUGGUAUGUGUGCAGUGGUGAGGGCGUGCUCCUGCCUGUGCGUGUGUUGGGACCUGUAUCUAAGCGCUCUUUCGUGUUGGGUGUGCGCGCACGCACGCACGCACACACAGCUGUCUGGGCGUGGUCUGGGUCUCAGCGCAAGGUGCCGGGUCCAGAGACCCCCCUUAGCCAUCCCUUGGCUCCAAGAGACAGGGACUGAAGACCAAGUUGGGUCCUGAGCUCAGAGGGUCUCCCGUCCGUAAGUCCCUGGUCUAGCCAUGUGGGCCAUCAAUUUGCAAACAAUUGCAAAUUGCCCAAUGGCACUACUCCGCCUAUACCGCAGCCACCACCCCUUGCCCCAGGCCCUGUUUCCCAUCUUGCACUAGAGGCCUGAGACCCAGGGCCCUAAGGCUUCUGAGGGUUCUGCUGAAAAAUACCCGUUCCUCGCAGACGAGCAGAACUCGCGUGAAGACCUCCCAAGUAAUGAGAGCUUAAUAUGUCCUCGAAAUGGGACAUCGUGCCAACUGCCAAGCCGCUCGACUCAUGUGGUGAUACACAAAUCACAUGUAACGUGGGAUCUGGCUGCAUUUUAUUGUGUUUGAUAUUGUGGGAGGUGGCGCCUCCGGGGGUAGGAGGAGCCAGGAAGGGGUAGCAAUGGGCCUGAGCUCGGGCAGGAGUGCCCAGCUCUCUGCUCACUCUCCGGGGAGCCCUCCUCCGUCCUCCAACAGUGACGGGGUCCCCUUGGCCUGCUGUCAGCUCUGCCACACAGAGGCUGGAAAUGCAUGGCCAUGUGUGUGUGCGCGUGUCAUGGCCUCCGAGCACAGUGCCCAGAUAGUCGUGUGCAAGAGACAGGGACUGACGCACAGAUGACUGGAAUGCUCCCCUCCGGGUGUGCGCGUGAGCACGUGUGCAUGCCCAAACAGACAACUUGCCUGAGCGCUUGCGGGGGGUUGGGGGGUGCUGGCUGGGAAGGGGGUGCGGGUGCCCCCCCAGCAUCCCUCACAAUCAUUAUCUCAGCAGGAGCAGCUCCUGCCCCGCGGCCCGCCCUCGCUGUUUCCAGCAGCUGCUGCUUUUCCCCAAAUUAACCCCUCUGAUCCAGCUUCUCAUUUUCCUGCUAGGGGGCCGUGGGCGGGCUGGGGAGGGGUCUCCGGAGGACAGUGCCCCCAGCAGGCAAGCUGAUCUUCCACAGACCCCCCCCACCCCGACUCCUGCCUUGUCCACAGGGGGCCUGUGCCUGUGGACAGCAGCGGCUAUGUGACUGGGUAUCAGAGUGCUGGUUGUGUGACUGUGUGUGUGUCAGAGAGAGAGAGACUGGAGCUGGGUCUAGAAUGCUAAAACGUGAACGGUUCAGGAACAGACAAAGCCCUGGCUGCCCGGGGGGUGGGGUGCUGCACUCUUGGGCCCAGCAUAGGGGUCCUGAGCCCCUCUGGCAUCAGGGAAGGGCCAGAAGACCCUGGAUUCCAGGUGGCAGGGACAUGGCUUUGCCCAGCUGGGGCUGUCGCGGGCCUAACCUAGGCUUAGGCAGGAGCACCCAGGGAGGCUCAGCUGAGGCAGAGGCUGUGCAGCCUCCUCCACCCGCCCCGAGGGCCUGAUCCAGGGGAGGAGACAGAUGGCAGGGAAACAGGUGACAGAAGGGCGCAGGGGGAGCUAAGACCAGAGGAACUUGGUCUGGUACCCGCCUGAGUCCAGGGAGGAAGGAGGGGGUUCAGAGGCCACGUGAGAGCCAGACGAGGGGCAGACGAGGGAGCCAGACCUGCGGGAGUUGGACGGACAGCCGUCUGCAUGCUGGGCCCUCUGAGCUGCAGUGGCUGAGUGGAGGGACCCAGGCCCUGUCACAUCUUCACACCACGGUAGGGGAGCAGGACGUCAGCCUCCAGUGCCUUGGCUCUGACUCUGACAUCCAAGUUCCACACAGGGCCUGGCACAGAGUCACGAACAAGACCCCCAGCAGCCCCGAACCAGCCGCAGGCUCCCGGGAGGGGCAGGGAGUGUCCUGUGCGGGGUGGCGGAAGCUCAGGGCUGGGGCUGCCCAGAGGGGGCACAUGACCCAGCCUCAGGAUGAGCGAACAUUUUUGGGGGGGUGGCAUCUCGGUCCAGGCCCGACUCUAACAACACAAACUAUUAUUUGUAAUAAUAGUACCAAACCAGAGCCACACUGAGCAACGUCCGGCAUAACCAGCUGUUUAUCUAAGCUUCCUGACUGCGCUGUGGCCGAGGCGCUGGAAUCCCCGUACAGAUGGGGCAUCUGAGGCUCAGAAACGUGAAGGGCUCUGUCUAAGAAAGUUCUGACAACCGGGAUUUCAAGUGCACCCAAACCUGCACGGUGUUCUGCCAUUGAGACCCAGCCUCCUGCACGCCUGCGUCGCUUUUCCUAAUUUCAGCAGCGGCCCCGCAGCCUCAGAAAUUAGGCAAAGGCCUAAUUCAGCGGACCAGACGCAGGAGCCGGUGAAGGGCAGCCGCCAUCCGCGGACGGACACUUCCCGGGCCUUGUUUUCAGUUGCUUUUUGCUUGAAAAGGGACAAGGCCCACGUUUUUAUGACACCAGCUUGUGAUUCUAUUUUCUGUUUAAAUUCUGGGUGAGGGAAAAAUAAGAGACAUCAGAGAAAGCUUCAGAAUCUCAUUUCGAGAGUCUGAGCUGCAGAUAAAUGAGCCUCCUGCAGAAACGCUACAUCAAAGCGAA
rnacentral:lncRNA from 1 species